UACGUAGGGGGCAAGCGUUGUCCGGAUUCAUUGGGCGUAAAGAGCGUGUAGGCGGCCAGGUAGGUCGGUUGUGAAAACUGGAGGCUCAACCUUCAGAGGUCGACCGAAACCAUCUGGCUAGAGUCCGGGAGAGGAGAGUGGAAUUCCUGGUGUAGCGGUGAAAUGCGCAGAUAUCGGGAGGAACACCGGUGGCGAAGGCGGUUCUCUGGGCCUGACCUGACGCUGAGGAGCGAAAGCGUGGGGAGCGAACAGG
rnacentral:rRNA from 1 species